rnacentral:rRNA from 1 species
CCCGGGCUCAACCUGGGAACUGCAUUCGAAACUGGCAGGCUUGAGUCUUGUAGAGGGGGGUAGAAUUCCAGGUGUAGCGGUGAAAUGCGUAGAGAUCUGGAGGAAUACCGGUGGCGAAGGCGGCCCCCUGGACAAAGACUGACGCUCAGGUGCGAAAGCGUGGGGAGCAAACAGGAUUAGAUACCCUGGUAGUCCACGCCGUAAACGAUGUCUACUUGGAGGUUGUGCCCUUGAGGCGUGGCUUCCGGAGCUAACGCGUUAAGUAGACCGCCUGGGGAGUACGGCCGCAAGGUUAAAACUCAAAUGAAUUGACGGGGGCCCGCACAAGCGGUGGAGCAUGUGGUUUAAUUCGAUGCAACGCGAAGAACCUUACCUGGUCUUGACAUCCACAGAAGUUUGCAGAGAUGCGAAUGUGCCUUCGGGAACUGUGAGACAGGUGCUGCAUGGCUGUCGUCAGCUCGUGUUGUGAAAUGUUGGGUUAAGUCCCGCAACGAGCGCAACCCUUAUCCUUUGUUGCCAGCGGUCCGGCCGGGAACUCAAAGGAGACUGCCAGUGAUAAACUGGAGGAAGGUGGGGAUGACGUCAAGUCAUCAUGGCCCUUACGACCAGGGCUACACACGUGCUACAAUGGCGCAUACAAAGAGAAGCGACCUCGCGAGAGCAAGCGGACCUCAUAAAGUGCGUCGUAGUCCGGACUGGAGUCUGCAACUCGACUCCAUGAAGUCGGAAUCGCUAGUAAUCGUGGAUCAGAAUGCCACGGUGAAUACGUUCCCGGGCCUUGUACACACCGCCCGUCACACCAUGGGAGUGGGUUGCAAAAGAAGUAGGUAGCUUAACCUUCGGGAGGGCGCUUACCACUUUGUGAUUCAUGACUGGGGUGAAGUCGUAACAAGGUAACCGUAGGGGAACCUGCGGUUGGAUCACCUCCUUACCUGAAAGAA